rnacentral:rRNA from 1 species
GAUGAACGCUGGCGGCGUGCUUAACACAUGCAAGUCGAACGAUGAAGCCCAGCUUGCUGGGUGGAUUAGUGGCGAACGGGUGAGUAACACGUGAGCAACCUGCCCCUAACUCUGGGAUAAGCCUUGGAAACUGGGUCUAAUACCGGAUAUGAGCGUCCACCGCAUGGUGGGUGUUGGGAAGAUUUGUCGGUUUUGGAUGGGCUCGCGGCCUAUCAGCUUGUUGGUGAGGUAAUGGCUCACCAAGGCGACGACGGGUAGCCGGCCUGAGAGGGUGACCGGCCACACUGGGACUGAGACACGGCCCAGACUCCUACGGGAGGCAGCAGUGGGGAAUAUUGCACAAUGGGCGCAAGCCUGAUGCAGCAACGCCGCGUGAGGGAUGACGGCCUUCGGGUUGUAAACCUCUUUCAGUAGGGAAGAAGCGAAAGUGACGGUACCUGCAGAAGAAGCACCGGCUAACUACGUG